rnacentral:rRNA from 1 species
GCGGUGCCUUCCGAGUUCCCUGGAACGGGACGCCAUAGAGGGUGAGAGCCCCGUAUGGUUGGAUACCAAGCCUGUGUGAAACUCCUUCGACGAGUCGAGUAGUUUGGGAAUGCUGCUCAAAAUGGGAGGUAAAUCUCUUCUAAAGCUAAAUAUUGGCCAGAGACCGAUAGCGCACAAGUAGAGUGAUCGAAAGAUGAAAAGCACCUUGAAAAGGGGGUUAAACAGUACGUGAAAUUGUUGAAAGGGAAGCGCUCAUGACCAGACUUGUGCUGGGCAGCUCAUCCGGGGUUCUCCCCGGUGCAUUCUGCCCAGUUCAGGCCAGCAUCGAUUUUUGCUGGGGGAUAAGAACGGUAGGAACGUGGCCCUCCUUCGGGAGGGUGUUAUAGCCUACCGUACGAUACCCUAGCGGAGAUCGAGGUUCGCGCAUCUGCAAGGAUGCUGGCGUAAUGGUCAUCAGCGACCCGUCUUGAAACACGGACCAAGGAGUCGUCCAUUAGAGCGAGCGUUUGGGUGUAAAACCCGCACGCGUAAUGAAAGUGAAAUUAGGUGAGAGCUUCGGCGCAUCAUCGACCGAUCCUGAUGUUCUCGGAUGGAUUUGAGUAAGAGUUUUAACGGACGGACCCGAAAGACAGUGAACUAUGCUUGUAUAGGGUGAAGCCAGAGGAAACUCUGGUGGAGGCUCGCAGCGGUUCUGACGUGCAAAUCGAUCGUCAAAUAUGAGCAUGGGGGCGAAAGACUAAUCGAACUGUCUAGUAGCUGGUUACCGCCGAAGUUUCCCUCAGGAUAGCAGUGUUGACCUUCAGUUUUAUGAGGUAAAGCGAAUGAUUAGGGACUCGGGGGCGCUUUUUAGCCUUCAUCCAUUCUCAAACUUUAAAUAUGUAAGAAGCCCUUGUUACUUAGUUGAACGUGGGCAUUCGAAUGUAUCAACACUAGUGGGCCAUUUUUGGUAAGCAGAACUGGCGAUGCGGGAUGAACCGAACGCGGGGUUAAGGCGCCAGAGUGUACGCUCAUCAGACACCACAAAAGGCGUUAGUACAUCUUGACAGCAGGACGGUGGCCAUGGAAGUCGGAAUCCGCUAAGG